rnacentral:piRNA from 1 species
GAGGAAAUCCAGUUUUUCCAACAGUGCUGA